rnacentral:rRNA from 1 species
GAUGAACGCUGGCGGCGUGCCUAAUACAUGCAAGUCGAGCGAACAGACGAGGAGCUUGCUCCUCUGACGUUAGCGGCGGACGGGUGAGUAACACGUGGAUAACCUACCUAUAAGACUGGGAUAACUUCGGGAAACCGGAGCUAAUACCGGAUAAUAUAUUGGACCGCAUGGUUCAAUAGUGAAAGACGGUUUUGCUGUCACUUAUAGAUGGAUCCGCGCCGCAUUAGCUAGUUGGUAAGGUAACGGCUUACCAAGGCAACGAUGCGUAGCCGACCUGAGAGGGUGAUCGGCCACACUGGAACUGAGACACGGUCCAGACUCCUAAGGGAGGCAGCAGUAGGGAAUCUUCCGCAAUGGGCGAAAGCCUGACGGAGCAACGCCGCGUAAGUGAUGAAGGUCUUCGGAUCGUAAAACUCUGUUAUUAGGGAAGAACAAAUGUGUAAGUAACUAUGCACGUCUUGACGGUACCUAAUCAGAAAGCCACGGCUAACUACGUG